GGAAAAGAGGCUAGAAUCAUGAUUUUAGCGACAUGUUUUUUUUUAUGAACCGUUCAGUUUUACUGAAAAUUUUAGUGUAACUUUUAUUGCUGCAUGGUAAUUUUAAACACAUACAUAGUUAACUUUUUCAUAAAGAAAUAUUUGGUUUGUAAUAUUUUAGUAAUAUCGUAUUAAAUAUGUUAAGCGAGGAAAAUAUCGAUUUUCAGUUGUUAAAAAUUAGAAGAUACAACUUUGCUUGCAUUUAAGGCGCUCCCUUUUCUUAUGAUAGCACCUCCACAGAAGGGCAAGAAAAGUCCAAGAAUGGAUUUUGAUGCAAUUUUGGCUUUAUUUUAUAGAGAAAUGGAUGUACACCUUGAGUUAUUGAAGAAGGAGAAAGUUUUUUUACUGAUUUUAUUCAAGUGUUGCGGCACUCUAUUUAUAAUUCUAAUUAUAACUCUAAUUAUAAGUCGAUAAUACAGCUAUACGGUUGGAAGCCAUACCGAGUAUUAGAUUUGCUUUUGAGUUGCUGCUAGUCUCUUAUUAUGUAUUUAAUGUCAAUUUUCCUCAUGAACUUAUUUGUGUAUAUAUUUUUAUGGGAAAUUUGCUUGGAAUAAACAGCAAAAGAA
rnacentral:lncRNA from 1 species